CCGAGCAGGCGGUGCAGUUGUCAGCAGGCACGGAUGACGGGGGUGGGCCUUUGUCAGGCGGCAGCGAGCGCUGAAUUAGCUGGGCUGGUGCCGCUGUCUCGCCCUCUGCCUCUCCCUUUAGGGGAGAAGCUAGACGCAUUUACGCAUGUAAACGUGCAAGAUUUCUAAACGGAACGCAGAACCUCGCGCUCGCUUCCGGACACGAUCGCUUCUUCCCCAGGCUCGAUGUUUCCUAUCUGGUUUCUAAUCCUCUACUUCCAUCCAACGUGGAUGCCUUUUGGGUAUGUGAUCUUUGUGAGUGAAACUUGCUUGUGGCAACAAAGGCGGCUUCUGUGGAGCUGAGUUCAUGUGCUGAAACCAUUUAUUGAAGAUUUCAUGGGCUUCCUGCAUUGCAUUGGAAACAAUGUUUGGACAUCUGUUAAUUUUGAGUACAGAAAGGAGCUCUCACUGUUCUGUAAACUUUCAGGUAUUUCACAGGCUUCACCUUUACUUACUGCUCUCACAGUGACCUGCUCCUAGCGACACACAACUCAAGCCCAGAAGAUCAAAGAGAUGUAGAAACAGAAGUUAAGAGUUCAUGCAAUUCAUCUCCUUGCUUGGCCACAUGAAAGGCAUGUUUCUCCCACAGACUCUCUCAAGGCAAUUUCCAGCAGUGUUUAAAGAGAAAUAUGGAACAGAUGUGGUGAAGGACUGAAGGACUCUGUGCUUGACUGCAGAUUGGAAUAGCUCCCCAACAAAGCACACUCACCUCUGUUGUGCCUGUGUCCAACAUAUGAUCAUGGUGACUGAAAUCCCCAGCAUCCUUCUUGCGGAUGUUCUCAACAACAGUUUUUGUUAUGGCUGCAACAUCCAGGCCUAGGUGAAAAGAGAAUUGCACAGUGGGGAUCAGAAAUUCAAAUUUCCUGCUGAAUGAAUUUCAGACUGGGGCUGUGGACCUUAUUUCUUACAUUACCUGUAACUGUUACUGGGCUGGUCACACUCUCACUGCCACACUAAAUUAUAGGCUUUUGAGAUACAUAAUUUAUUGCACGUAUUUUAGAUGAAUAAUAUCCAAGGUAACAGAAAACACCAAACAGUCUGUGCUGGGGACCUGCAUGCAGAUAUGUUUGUCAAACUUCAGAGCAUAUAUUUAAGACGGGCAGUUAGCAUUUAAUUUCUGCUAUGUUUGGACAUGAUCCACAAGCAAAAGUGGUAUUUAGCUUGUUUUAGAAAUAGAAUUGCUAUUCCAGACUACAGGAAGAAAACACAAUACAGAGCACAUCUCACCUGCUUCUUUUGCUAACUCAAGACAGUGGUGGCGUUGAUCGCUUUCAGUAACAUCUUCUAGAAACAGAGCAUACUGGGCAACAGCCAGCUCUGGGGGCAGGUGGCUCACAUAAAAAGCUAUUAAGUCUGUGUGCUUCUCUGAUAUCAUCCGCUGAAGAACAGAAAGCAAAUAUUAAAAAAAAAACAAUGUUUCUCUGUGUACACACCUAAGUUAUGAAUAUUAAAUAAUGUGUAAGCCAGA